GCCCUUAUAGCACAGUGGUAGUGCGUCGCACUUGUAAUGCGAAGGUCGGUUGUUCAAUCCAGCCUGGGGGCA
rnacentral:tRNA from 1 species